rnacentral:rRNA from 1 species
UACAGAGGUCUCAAGCGUUGUUCGGAUUCAUUGGGCGUAAAGGGUGCGUAGGUGGCGCGCUAAGUCAGGUGUGAAAUUUCGGAGCUUAACUCCGAAACUGCAUUUGAUACUGGUGUGCUUGAGGACUGGAGAGGAGACUGGAAUUCAUGGUGGAGCAGUGAAAUGCGUAGAGAUCAUGAGGAAGACCAGUGGCGAAGGCGGGUCUCUGGACAGUUCCUGACACUGAGGCACGAAGGCCAGGGGAGCAAACGGG